UACGGAGGAUUCGAGCGUUAUCCGGAAUUACUGGGCGUAAAGGGUGCGUAGGUGGUUUCUUAAGUCAGAGGUGAAAGGCUACGGCUCAACCGUAGUAAGCCUUUGAAACUGGGAAACUUGAGUGCAGGAGAGGAGAGUGGAAUUCCUAGUGUAGCGGUGAAAUGCGUAGAUAUUAGGAGGAACACCAGUUGCGAAGGCGGCUCUCUGGACUGUAACUGACACUGAGGCACGAAAGCGUGGGGAGCAAACAGGAUUAGAUACCCCGGUAGUCCCUGAGCGGG
rnacentral:rRNA from 1 species